AUUGGACAAUGGGGGGAACCCUGAUCCAGCGACGCCGCGUGAGUGAAGAAGUAUCUCGGUAUNUAGAGCUCUAUCAGCAGGGAAANNCANNNUNACGGUACCUGAGUAAGAAGCCCCGGCUAACUACGUGNNNGNANCCGCGGUAAUACGGAGGGGGCAAGCGUUAUCCGGAAUUACUGGGUGUAAAGGGAGCGUAGACGGUGAAGUAAGUCUGGAGUGAAAGGCGGGGGCCCAACCCCCGGACUGCUCUGGAAACUAUUUGACUGGAGUGCAGGAGAGGUAAGCGGAAUUCCUAGUGUAGCGGUGAAAUGCGUAGAUAUUAGGAGGAACACCAGUGGCGAAGGCGGCUUACUGGACUGUAACUGACGUUGAGGCUCGAAAGCGUGGGGAGCAAACAGG
rnacentral:rRNA from 1 species